ACGGAUAAAAAACUCUACAGGUUGUUAUCAAAAUUCGUAUGGUUGGCUCUUCCAUAUCACUGAUUUUUGGUUGAACCCAUAUAUUGCUAAAUCUACAUUGAUAGCUACGAAUAAACUAGCGUUGCUGUAAAGUUGUUUUGACUGUUGAGGAUUUCUCAUCUGAUCAUCGCUAAUACAAACUAACAUAUGGCAGAUUUGGCUAUUUUAUUCAGGUCUAUUUAAAGAUUCUAAAUGUUAGUUUUUGAAUGUCACAAAAACAGAAGAUGGUGGAACUUAUUUUUUGGAGAACACACAUCAGAAAGCGAAAAUUUUCAGAUUCAUCCGCUGGGACAUAUAUUAAUGUUGAAGCGCACAUACUUUGAUCCCGGUAGGCCGAAGCAAUGGGAAAAAAACAAAAUCCCCUAAAAUGUUUCCAAACCAAUUUUACCACGGCCAGGGUGGCGUUUUCAGCGCAACUUUAAAAAAAAAAUCCUUCUGGAAACGGUGAAGCAGCAGCAUCAAUUGCAUUAAAAAAUAGCCUUUAAUGAGAU